rnacentral:rRNA from 1 species
GGCGAACGCUGGCGGCGUGCCUAAUACAUGCAAGUUGAGCGCUGAAGGUUGGUACUUGUACCGACUGGAUGAGCAGCGAACGGGUGAGUAACGCGUGGGGAAUCUGCCUUUGAGCGGGGGACAACAUUUGGAAACGAAUGCUAAUACCGCAUAAAAACUUUAAACACAAGUUUUAAGUUUGAAAGAUGCAAUUGCAUCACUCAAAGAUGAUCCCGCGUUGUAUUAGCUAGUUGGCGAGGUAAAGGCUCACCAAGGCGAUGAUACAUAGCCGACCUGAGAGGGUGAUCGGCCACAUUGGGACUGAGACACGGCCCAAACUCCUACGGGAGGCAGCAGUAGGGAAUCUUCGGCAAUGGACGAAAGUCUGACCGAGCAACGCCGCGUGAGUGAAGAAGGUUUUCGGAUCGUAAAACUCUGUUGGUAGAGAAGAACGUUGGUGAGAGUGGAAAGCUCAUCAAGUGACGGUAACUACCCAGAAAGGGACGGCUAACUACGUG